rnacentral:rRNA from 1 species
ACCAGACUCCUACGGGAGGCAGCAGUGGGGAAUAUUGGGCAAUGGGCGCAAGCCUGACCCAGCAAUGCCGCGUGAAGGAAGAAGGCUUUCGGGUUGUAAACUUCUUUGACAGGGGAAGAGCAGAAGACGGUACCCUGAAAACAAGCCACGGCUAACUACGUGCCAGCAGCCGCGGUAAUACGUAGGGGGCAAGCGUUAUCCGGAUUCACUGGGUGUAAAGGGAGCGUAGACGGCGACGCAAGUCUGGAGUGAAAGCCCGGGGCCCAACCCCGGGACUGCUCUGGAAACUGCGUCGCUGGAGUACGGGAGGGGCAGGCGGAAUUCCUGGUGUAGCGGUGAAAUGCGUAGAUAUCAGGAGGAACACCGGCGGCGAAGGCGGCCUGCUGGACCGUGACUGACGUUGAGGCUCGAGAGCGUGGGGAGCAAACAGGAUUAGAUACCCCGGUAA